rnacentral:rRNA from 1 species
GAUGAACGCUGGCGGUAUGCUUAACACAUGCAAGUCGAACGGACUCUUCGGAGUUAGUUGCGGACGGGUGGGUAACGCGUGGGAAUCUGGCUUUGGGUUCCGGACACCCACUGGAAACGGUGCCUAAUGCCGGUUGUGCUGAGAGGUGAUAGAGGAGCCGCCUGAAGGUGAGCGCGCGUCUGAUUAGCGAGGUGGGGAGGGGAAGGCCCACCAAGGCAGCGAUCAGUAGGUGGUUUGAGUGGCUAAGCAGCCACACGGAGACUGAGACACGGCCCAGACUACUGCGGGAGACAGCAGUGGAGAAUUUUCCGAAAUGGGCAAGAGUCUGACAGAGCAAUACCGCGUGAGAGAAGAAGGUUCGUGGGUUGUACACCUCUUUUCUUAGAGAAGAACAAAAUGACGGUACCUAAGGAAUCAGCAUCGGCUAACUCCGUG